GACGUAGGGCGCGAGCGUUGUCCGGAUUUAUUGGGCGUAAAGAGCUCGUAGGCGGCUUGUUGCGUCGACCGUGAAAACCCGGGGCUCAACUUCGGGCUUGCGGUCGAUACGGGCGGGCUAGAGUUCGGUAGGGGAGACUGGAAUUCCUGGUGUAGCGGUGAAAUGCCCAGAUAUCAGGAGGAACACCGGUGGCGAAGGCGGGUCUCUGGGCCGAUACUGACGCUGAGGAGCGAAAGCGUGGGGAGCGAACAGG
rnacentral:rRNA from 1 species